rnacentral:miRNA from 1 species
AGGCGGGAGGAUCGCUUGAGCUCAGGAGUUACAAGCUGCAGUGAGCUGUGAUUGGGCCACUGCACUCCAGCCUGAGUGACAGAGCAAGACC